GAGCAUCAGCUCCCUCCAGGCUGCGUGCCAGUGCAGGGAAGAACAGCUCCCUGGAAAGUCAGCUUUGUUCCAGGGCUUAGAGACAGCGUGUGAAGCACACUGCUGCCAAGAUGCACCAUUUAAAGAUUAGAGGAGGGUUCCUCCAACCAGCAAGCGAGAGGGAAGCAAGUCUCAAAGGAGGAGCUGUUUUGAAGAGGGCUUGCAGCUGCCACCACAUGAAUGGCUCCCCAAGAACAGGAGCAACUGCUCCCAACUGCCCGCAGAGCUGGGAGGAAAGCAUCUCUGCUGAGGUUGGUUUUCAAUGUCGGUUUUUAGGUCAACUAAAACAGCUUUUCUUAUGCAACAAGAGCUGCAGAAAGCUCA